UCUGGCCUCAGGUUGAAGAGGAGGUUAAUAAUUCAUCUUGCCGUGAGAUAAAGCACAUCAAAUAUGGCAGCCCUUGAGGGAGUGCUCUAAAGACUCGGUGCAAGGUGUUUGGACCACAGCCUGGCCGUGACACAACCUGAACCUUUGCCUUUGCUCUCUGUUCAUCUGUGCCACUCAAUAACUGCUGUGAGCUGGGGGAUGAUGAUUUCUCAUCAUGGAGAAAUACGUCUUUCUGAAAGAGCGGACAAGUGAAUCUUCUGUGGGAGGAAUGUUCUCAUUUCUGAACAGAAGAGGUGUUAUUGUGAGCACAAAGCUGUGAUCUGGCCAGGCCAGAGAGUACUGAGAAAGGGGGAUGCAAAAAUAGCGCAGGCUGAUUCUGAGCAAGCAGGAGGUUCAUCGCUCACCACAGAGUGAGUUCUCAGCACAUGGCCACAUUUUGUGAGUCUACAGGUCGUGUCUACCCCUUCUGUUGAUCAUCUCCACAGGCAGAUGCAGGAGUUCCAUACAGAAGUGUGGGGAGAGACACUGGUUCAUUUUCCUGCACAGACAGUAAAUGAAAUGACAUUUCUUUGUAGUGACAACAACAGUAAUACUGAGAGCAAAGAAGCUUUUGGCUGGUGGAGAUCAGAAGAGUGUGUAGCAGCACAGAAGGCAUUGGGUUUCUCCCAGGCUUCUGAGUGUUGGGAUGAUCCCUAAAGAGUGAGAUGGGGCUGAGAAAGGAGUCAAAGGAGCAAAGGUGCAGGGUGGAGAUGGGGUAAAAUGCAGAAGUGCUACCAUGACGUAUUUAAUGUGAGCUUGUAAACAAGAUGGACAACAUCUGAUUACACUGUUUGAUGGUGACAGGAUAAGGAGAAGGGUUUUCUACUAAAAGAGGAGUGAUUAAGGUUAGUUACUUGAAGGAUGCCGUUGAUUCAGAUGCUGGUGAGGCACUGGCACAAGCUGCCCAGAGGAGCAGUGCAUGACCCAUCCCUGGAGGUGCUCAAGGACGGGUUGGAUGUGGACAUAGGAUUCUAGGAUACGAUGGUUAACUCUUUGAUCUUUAAGGUCCCUUCCAAACAAAAACAUUCCCUCCUAUGACUCUAUGAUUGACAGGGGAUGGACAGGCGGUUGCAAGAAAACAGAGCAAGGAGGAGAGCUGACGCAAAGAGACCGAUGGGACACUGCAUGCAGAAUGAGGGCAUGAUCAGCAAGAUCAGGUGGGCAUAAGGGGGAGAAGGGAGAAGAUUCCUCCCUUUAAGAAACAGGAAACACAGACCAUGAUGAGGUGUCUGACGUCCCCAAAUAAAAGCGGUAGCUCGGCAGACACAACAGAUGCACCAUGGGCUGCAUCACAGUCU
rnacentral:lncRNA from 1 species